GCUUGUUGGCUGCAUGUAUGUCUUCUGCCAAAAGCAUUUUCUUUCUCCAUCGUCAAAAGCAGAGUUGCAUAGAUCAAGGUAUGUGAGAUUCUGAAAGAGGUAUAUUAAAGUCUCAGCAUGAAAGCAUAAAGGCCAUAAUGAAUGCAUUUCAAGAAUGUGAUCUCUUUCAGCAUGUCCACACCCUGCCUUCCACAUGUCACUACAGGAGAGGAGGAUGAGGAAACUGAGGCAUGGAGCAGUCCACGUGAAUGAGUCUCGUAGUAAGUGAUGGAACUAGGAUGCAACUCUCUGGUGUGAGUGCCCCACUCUGAGAGAUGGAAUCUCGCUCUGUCACCAGGCUGGAGUGCAGUGGCAUGAUCUCGGCUCACUGCAACCUCUGCUUCCAGGGUUCAAGCGAUUCUGCUGCCUCAGCCUCCCAAGCAGCUGGGACUACAGGCUUGGUCAGGAUUUGUGUAGAAAGUGCACAGCAGAACUGAGCCUAUGCAUUCAAAGUCCUGAGUACCCCUACAAAGGAAGAGGACACAAAUGAAAAAUAUUCCCUCAUACCAAGGAUUGUCCUGAAAUCCAAGACCAUAUUUUAUGAGAAGACAUACAUCAGAGAGAGAGAGAUUACAGUAUGCAAUCUCUCAGCUGCCAACAGAACACAGAUGGGCUUGGGAACAGAGAAUGAUCCAGAUCUGCAGGACUGGAGCAAUCCGUGGGAAGUUUGGACAGAAGAUCUGAUGCAUAAGACAGUAAAGGACUAUUGAAUGUUCCAUGAUAGAUAUGCUUGUUCUUUUGCCUGCAUGCCCUUGAAUAAAGACAUUUUGAUCUCCAGGACCAACCUGAGAAACAUAUAAUUUAAUCUAGUUUUGAAAGAAGAGCCC
rnacentral:lncRNA from 1 species